GGGGUGGUGGCUUAGCAGUAGAGCGCUCGCCUAGCACAUGCGAGACGCUGGGUUCGAUCCUCAGCACCACA
rnacentral:tRNA from 1 species